rnacentral:rRNA from 1 species
UACGUAGGGUGCAAGCGUUAAUCGGAAUUACUGGGCGUAAAGCGUGCGCAGGCGGCUUUGCAAGACAGAUGUGAAAUCCCCGGGCUCAACCUGGGGAACUGCAUUUGUGACUGCAUGGCUAGAGUGCGGCAGGAGGGGGAUGGAAUUCCGCGUGUAGCAGUGAAAUGCGUAGAUAUGCGGAGGAACACCGAUGGCGAAGGCAAUCCCCUGGGCCUGCACUGACGCUCAUGCACGAAAGCCGUGGGGGAGCAAACAGGA